CCUACGGGUGGCAGCAGUGGGGAAUAUUGCGCAAUGGAGGCAACUCUGACGCAGCAACGCCGCGUGGAUGAUGAAGGUCUUCGGAUUGUAAAGUUCUGUGAUGGGGGAAGAACACAAUGACGGUACCCUAAUAGCAAGCCACUGCUACCUACGCGUCAGCCGCUGCGGUAAUAAGUGGGGGGAAAGCGAUCUGCGGAACGAUGGGGCGGAAAGGGGGAGUAGGGGGGUUAGUAAGUCGGCGGGGUAAUUCCGGGGCUCAACCUCGGCACUGCCGGUGAAACUAUUAGACUAGAGUGCAGUAGAGGUAAGUGGAAUUCCUGGUGUAGCGGUGAAAUGCGUAGAUAUUAGGAGGAACAUCAAGGGCGAAGGCGACUUACUGGAACGUAACUGACGCUGAGGCACGAAAGCGUGGGGAGCAAACAGGAUUAGAUACCCGGGUAGUC
rnacentral:rRNA from 1 species